rnacentral:rRNA from 1 species
UACGUAGGGUGUAAGCGUUGUCCGGAAUUAUUGGGCGUAAAGAGCUCGUAGGCGGUCUGUCGCGUCUGCUGUGAAAACUCGGGGCUUAACCCCGGGCCUGCAGUGGGUACGGGCAGACUAGAGUGUGGUAGGGGAGACUGGAAUUCCUGGUGUAGCGGUGAAAUGCGCAGAUAUCAGGAGGAACACCGGUGGCGAAGGCGGGUCUCUGGGCUGGAACUGACGCUGAGGAGCGAAAGCGUGGGUAGCAAACAGG